UACAUGGUUUGGUUAUCCUAUAAGUGACUUGAUGUUCAAGGUUUAUCACUUAAAUUGAUAAGUUUAAAAUGGUUAAACUGGAAAGGAAAACUAGAGCACGUGCUUCUCAUGUUUGACAGUGUAUACUUAUUCUGCCUACUAAUUUUAGUCAUCAAUGGUUACAAAUCUCAUGGCAUAUAGAUUUAUCUGAGGUGACUUAUCCAAAUGAAUACCAUAUCUAUUGACUUUUGACUAUAUUGGUUUACACAUAAUGCUCUUCCAGCUAGUGAACCUCAAAAUUUGGAGAAAAAAGGCCAGCUUUAACAUUGUUGGUACUUUGUGUUAUGAGAUUCUUUGUGUGACCAACUCUUUUGUCACAGCUUCAUUUGUUGCAGGGUGUAAGAUGUAAUACCUUUGCGCUACAGAUUUUUCGCUGGUCCAAGUACUGACGUGCUUUUAUCUGCCAUCAGAUAUUCAGAUUGUGUCAUGAGUUAUGUGUGUGGAAUCCUUUAUUCCCGCAGCACAUAAGGUCGGUGUUGUCAAAUUCGUCGCGUUGCUGAGAAGCAACAUUUACAUACCUGAUGCAAGUGGCAACUCUGCUAUUGUUACUUUAUGGCGAGAACAUGCAGAAACCUUUGAUGUGGUUGCUCUUCGUUAAGCCUCCUAUGAGGACAACAUUAUUAUACUGUGUUUGCAGGCAUUAGUGUUGCCCUAGUUGUCAGGACUGUCUGUUUUGAUUACUGCCUGUUGGUAUUGUCACAAAGUUCAUGAACGCAGUUUGAUGGUGCUAACAUUCUAUCAGGACAUGUCCAUAUCCAUAUGUUGGUCUUAAGGUUGCAAGAUGAAGAAGAUCGAGUACAAUGAAGAAGACGGAUGAAGACGGUGUCGGAGAGAGACGAAGACGGUGUAUAAGAUGAAGAGAG